UGAAAAAAUUCAAAAAAACAGAAAAAAAAAUUUGGUCAGAUCAACUCGAUCUUUGUCGUUCUCCUGUCAAUUUAUUCAACUGAUUCUCUUGGUGUCUUCUUGGUCAGUUCACUUGAGGUAAAGAGAGAGAGAAAG
rnacentral:ribozyme from 1 species